rnacentral:rRNA from 1 species
CCUGACAAACCCAAAAGAUUGAAUGGGGAGAUUCAUCGUCAGCUACUAUUGUAUAUGUAUGAAUUACGAUGUAGGUUACUUUUAUAGUAUUGCUUGCACGUAUUUAUACAUUUAUAUGCAAUAUGUUGUCGGCGUGCACUUCUCCCCUAGUAAAACAUUGCGACCCGUUGGAUGCUGGUUUACGACCCAAGUUGGGAGCCUUUAAUGUUUAAUAGCAUUAGAGACCCUUGGUGUUUUCUGACCGGCUGUUCGGCGGUACUCGUACGGUAUUUAGCCGCAUAUUUAUAUGCGUUUAUGUCCGUCGCAAGCGCGGCUAGUUUGUGGUAAUACGGACCUGGCGCCGUCGCUGCAACUGGCCAGCUGUUGGCUGUUACGGUAUUCUAGAACUGGCUAAAAUUAUUACCGGUCGGCAAUGCUCACUGCUUUGGUACU